rnacentral:rRNA from 1 species
AACGAACGCUGGCGGCAGGCCUAACACAUGCAAGUCGAGCGCCCCGCAAGGGGAGCGGCGGACGGGUGAGUAACACGUGGGAACGUACCCUUUGCUACGGAAUAGUCUCGGGAAACUGGGGGUAAUACCGUAUGUGCCCUUCGGGGGAAAGAUUUAUCGGCAAAGGAUCGGCCCGCGUUGGAUUAGGUAGUUGGUGGGGUAAUGGCCUACCAAGCCGACGAUCCAUAGCUGGUUUGAGAGGAUGAUCAGCCACACUGGGACUGAGACACGGCCCAGACUCCUACGGGAGGCAGCAGUGGGGAAUCUUAGACAAUGGGCGCAAGCCUGAUCUAGCCAUGCCGCGUGAGCGAUGAAGGCCUUAGGGUUGUAAAGCUCUUUCAGUGGGGAAGAUAAUGACUGUACCCACAGAAGAAGCCCGGCUAACUCCGUGCCAGCAGCCGCGG